rnacentral:tRNA from 6 species
GGGCGAUUAGCUCAGUUGGUUAGAGCGCCACCUUUACACGGUGGAUGUCGGGGGUUCGAGUCCCUCAUCGCCCACAA